rnacentral:misc_RNA from 1 species
AGCGGCUGGUCUUAAAUGCAUUAGCUGAUCCAUGCUUGUGUACUUGGUUCUACUCGGCGUGAUAAUUGUCUGACCGCUGAGGACAUUUGCCUUGCGCGAAUGGCCAGGUGUGCCUUGGGUUGCUUCCAACCCCGGUCUUUGCACCGGAACGACCUUUCAAAUUUGACCUCGAAUCAGGCGGGACUACCCGCUGAACUUAA